CUGCUGGUUUGGAAGAUUGGGUCGAUUUCGGUGUUUUUGGCCAACACUGCUGUUGUUAUCAGAGACGGUAACUUGGUUGAAAUCCCAGCCAACGAA